UACGUAGGGUGCAAGCGUUGUCCGGAAUUAUUGGGCGUAAAGAGCUCGUAGGCGGUCUGUCGCGUCUGCUGUGAAAACUCAGGGCUUAACCCUGAGCUUGCAGUGGGUACGGGCAGACUAGAGUGCGGUAGGGGAGACUGGAAUUCCUGGUGUAGCGGUGAAAGUGCGCAGAUAUCAGGAGGAACACCGGUGGCGAAGGCGGCAUCCUGGACCGG
rnacentral:rRNA from 1 species